GACGAACGCUGGCGGCGUGCUUAACACAUGCAAGUCGAACGGAAAGGCCCUGCUUUUGUGGGGUGCUCGAGUGGCGAACGGGUGAGUAACACGUGAGUAACCUGCCCUUGACUUUGGGAUAACUUCAGGAAACUGGGGCUAAUACCGGAUAGGAGCUCCUGCUGCAUGGUGGGGGUUGGAAAGUUUCGGCGGUUGGGGAUGGACUCGCGGCUUAUCAGCUUGUUGGUGGGGUAGUGGCUUACCAAGGCUUUGACGGGUAGCCGGCCUGAGAGGGUGACCGGCCACAUUGGGACUGAGAUACGGACCAGACUCCUACGGGAGGUAGCAGUGGGGAAUAUUGCACAAUGGGCGGAAGCCUGAUGCAGCAACGCCGCGUGCGGGAUGACGGCCUUCGGGUUGUAAACCGCUUUCGCCUGUGACGAAGCGUGAGUGACGGUAAUGGGUAAAGAAGCACCGGCUAACUACGUG
rnacentral:rRNA from 1 species